UGUCUUUGGACUGCGGGAGGCGACCAGAGUACCCAUGCAGGCACAGGGAGAACAUACGGACCGCGCACAGGGAGGGCCCGGUCAGGUUUUGAAGCCAGGACCUUUUUUCUGUGAGACGACAGUGCUAUCCACGGCAUGUCCACUGCAUCGCUAUGCUGCCCCACACGUAAGUUAGCGCGGCCAAAUACAGUGCGCACCUAUAUAGUUAAAUCUGUUUUCCUGCGGUGGAACAGCCACACUCAUGAUGCAGACGCAGCUGUUGGCUUACUUCAUUCGUUUUCCAGAUUACUUUACCAAGUUCAAUGCUUAAAAUGAGGUAUUUAAAAAAUUAAUGCCAAAUCAUUGUGUGUGUGUGUGUUAUUUGUGGGAAGGAAGAAGGCACCAAUGUAACAGAUCUCAGCCAUACCGCAUCUUCUUUACUGGGAAUUGAUUUUGAAAUGAAAAAUGAUUGCAGGGGAGUGUUAGCUUUCUUGUACUUAAAUCGACCAAUAAAAGCUGAGCGUUUGACAUGUCCCGCCCCCAAGCAAACAUAAAUAAAUAUCCAUAUUGGAAUUCCUGAACAUACCACAAAAACUGGUUCAGUCACAAUAUUGUUCAACCGUCUGGUUUGCCAGUUACAUUUAAUAGCAUGAGACUGAAAGAGAACUACGGCACAGAGCAACAGGAAACGCCUGCGGGUGUCCUAUUUGCAUAUGUUAGGACAUUUGUUUGUUAUAUUACAUACUUCUUGUACACUGUAGGUGCCAAUUGAAAAAAAAAUAAUAAUAAAUGAAAUUGCUGUUAUUUUAACGUUGGCUUAUUUUUGAUUGAAUAAAUAAGGUAAAAUCAGUUACGUGUCAUUUGUCACAUUAUCACAUGAGGGUAGAUUUAUCUGCUGUUAGGACUUGGUGAGGACUAGGUGAGAGUUAGUGAGUGUUAAGCAUGUUAAGCACUAAUAUGAUUCUUAUAUAUUUAAUUAUGUAGCCUCUUGUGACGUACUAUAAUCAAAGGUUCUUCCACGGACAAGUCACAGACUUUAUCUUGCCACAAACAGUGAUGACUAAUAUUAGCCAGAUCGUAAUUUGGAAAUACAAACGGCAAACAUUGGCUGUUAUUGCACAUAAUCUAGAAAAUGUCUGGAUUCUUAUCUACUGUAGUGCUAUUGUACUGUUAGCCUGCUGUUAAAUAUUCGGUUGAAAUCUGUCUGUGAACUGAGAAAUGUAUUUUAGGAAUCAACCUAGGACAAACUUAAAUGUGUUGAGCAAGCUGUUUGAAAACAUUGGGGGUGUUGACAGAUUUAAGGAUAUUGAUAGAAACCUGGAAUCCUGAGGGCCCAAACAGGCUCCUCUGCCAGCCAAAAGUCCCCUUCCCAGCUUGCAUUUCACUGAAAUCAGAUAAAACUGCCAAACUGAUAACUCCUCUCAGCUCUCUGAAACUCAUCUGAAAAGGCCGCAACAGAAUGUGAGCAGGAAGUUUGUGUUUAGUCUUGGAUUAGGAAGUGGGCGGCGGGGCGGCAUUGUCAUUAGUUUGUUGUAAAUCACAGAUGUUACUGCACGUGAAAAAGAAACCGGGAUUAUCGACAAGUGUAAACAAUUGGAAUUUCCCCAGGUCUCAACGGUGGGACUUUUUGAAGAAGUGAUGUAGAGUAACUGAUAUGCAGGUAUUUAAUGGUGAAACUUUCCAACUAACCCUUUAAACGUAGUUGGUUUCAUGAGUGCACAAAUACAGUUUGCUGAUAUGUCACUCGUUUUCACUUUGGCCACAGGUGGCCAUUCUUCAGAAUGGUGAAUAGAAUGUGUUACAACAUAGGCUACAAAUGAAAAUGAAUUUUUACUAGCUUCACGAUGCAAACUUCACCACCCAAUCAUAGAACAUAUAUGGGCAAAUUCUGUUUUUUACAGGCUUUAAUGAAAAGACAUGCCACUUUCUAUUCAAAAUGUAUGACAUUAUUAGAAAGGAAUGGAGGCAUCUGAUUGCUUUAGCUUGAACUGAUCCAGAAUAUAUACUAUGCUAUAAUUGUGAUGGGUUUUCACUCUGAAGUACAGUAAAUUACUUCCCUUCUGUACACAUCUAAGACCUAAAUGUGUAUGUGAAAUUGCAUUUGAAACACUCAAUUUUGUUUUAAAUAGUGUGGAAAUACAGUUCUCUUUGAGCAUAAGUGUAUGGCAACUUUUCAGAAAUGAACAAAUUUUCUUUUUCAAAACUUUUUUUAAAUUUCAUAUAGACUCCUUUCAUGAUAUUAAACUACUGUAUUGUUUGCCAAGUCUGUACACAAUAAUUCUAAUAACAAGGGUUUUUUUUGUUUUAACCCUAGUCAUUCAUCACAAGAACCAAGAAUAGCCAUUUUUGGGGGGAAUAAUAACAGUAAAUACAACAAUAAAUCAAAGUUUCAGUUAUUUAACAUACAGGAAUAACUCCUGUGAUUUUCUCUGGGUCUGGCAGCUUUCAUUCAGACCUGCAGAGCUGCAGUGAUGUUUGGGCCCACUCUGUGAGACCACAACCAGAGCCCCUCUGGAGCAGGCCCUUGUGUGGUGAAGUGUUACCGCGGCGAUAGAGUUCCAGCAAUUUGUGCAAUUAAGGUCCUGUGGAAAUCUUGUCAGUCUCUAAUGAGUCACCCCCUUCCAUUCAGAAAGGAGUAAUUACGAGCUGGGUGCACUCCAAGAAACUUUCUCUCUACCAUCUGUCAGCAGGGCAAGGAGCACAUUGUUCACCCCCUCUGACUGUGUUCUCUUCUCGUCACUUUUAACGUCUCCCAAAUUCUUGUCUGACACCUCCUCUUGUUUCAGGAGGGGUAUCGAUCUGCUCCAUACCCAGACCCUGUGCCUGAACCACUGGCGGCUGUCCUUUUUUUAUCUUCCUCUUUUCUUUUCAUUCCUUGUUGCCAGUUGGGGCCAGCCCGGGUUCCUUGAAAGGGAGGAGAAGAAUAAAGCACAACCCAUUUCCCAAGCUGCUUUGCUGUUUCCCCCUUUCCUCCUCCUCAGUCCCUGGUUCCUUUUCCCCACUGGUGCCUGAAAGACUGACAUUGAGUGGGAACUCACAGAUCCUGAAAGACUGACGGUGAGCGGGAACUCACAGAUCCUGAAAGACUGAAGGUGAGCGGGAACUCACAGAUACUCAUUACCUGCUACCAAGGGAUCAGCUACUCCUCCUGGGGUCCAACAACUUAAAACAACUCAAAGCAUGCCAGACAGUAGUAUCAAGCCCAAAGCAAUCAGAGAAACAUACAGUAAAUCUUUAUGUAAGUAUAUGUAACAUAAGUGGUAUAUGUAAGUCAAGUAAACUGACAAAAGUUAAGGUUAUUCUUUGUGUGCCUUCUCAGUAAUUUUUCAAUCUUGCAUUACUGGGUGCUUGACUAAUUACAGUUGAUAAACUGUUCAAUAAUAGAGUGGAGAUGGGGGACCAGGGAAAAGGUGAGAUGCACUGGAGGGAAAACAUUGAGGGAUAGUUUGUCCGUAAUUCAGCUCAAUUCAUUUUUAUCGUAUGACACUUUUUACAGGGAGGAUGUCACAAUGUCUCUGUAAAAAGACACUGAAAAACAGGCAAUGAGCUAAAUUAGGCAAGACAGAAUUGAACCCCCAAAAAUCCACCAAGCACCAAGUAAAUCCAUCAAAAACUACCCAGUGAGAAGAAAUCUUGGGAGGAGCCCAAAUAUAGAGGGAGAGGGAGCCCAACCUCUGCUCACCAGCCUGAGAAUGCGUCUGCUCUCCCCUGCACUCCAGUGGCCCGGAAUGUUCUCCCUUCAUUAUCGGCCUGCCCCGGCCCAGCAGGGGGCCCCCUCCGAGCGCGGCUCCCUCUCCGAGUACCACGAAAAAAUAAAGAGGAAGGCCUCCUGUCCCAAUUAAGGUUAAUUGACCCAGUUUGCGCCUCGGCACACUUUAGAAUUUCGGGUGUUUCCCUGUGGGUUGGGCAGAGUGAGCUCGCUGGUGGUGCCCGGUAUGUGUGGGACAGGAACAGAGGGCCUGGCACAAGUCAAAUUCAGGCACCUCAGUUAGGGCAGAACUGGAAGUUUGGAUUCUUCCCUCCUCCCUCCUCCUUUGUGCUGUUUGUUCCACUUUGUUCACCUCCAAACCUUCUGAAAGGUGUACAUCUUUAUAUAGCCAGUAGGUGGUCGAAAUCUUACCUCCCAAAAAACCACCAUGAUCUUUUCUGCUCCUUCAGCCACACUCCAUUCAUAACACAGUUCAAACUUCUCUCCUGCUUUAAAACUUUAUUUGUUUAUCUGGAUGUUUAAUAUAUAUAUAUAUAUUUUUUUUUUUUUGCAAAGUGAAACCAUCCUUGAAACUAUAUUGCCACAAACCACUAAACGGUCACAUAUUGCUACAAGAAUUUUAAAUCUGUUUUCUUCUAUUGUUUCCUGUAAAGAGAGGAAGAGUUAAUUGUGUGGUGCCUGUGCACUGUACGUAAGUGCAAUCAGUCUAUUUUUUUAUACAGGAUUGUUGAAACUUGAACUUUAUACAGGAAAAAGAAAGACAGCUGAUCUUUGGAUUUGGUGGCUGCUGUUUACUGUUCUUUUAUGGGCAGGGUCAAAGUACGAACUGGCAGGAAAAACUCACUCUUCUCUGCUGGCUCCGUGCCUGAUACUGACUCUCAGAUGGACUUUCGUUUUCACUGGUUAUGAAACAAGGGACAAAACAGGGCUGUAAAAACAUGUUCAUUACCGCAAAUGAGAAGCAAGGAUAUAUAUGGAAAGGGAGGAGCUGGGUGUUAAUUUAUUCAGUUACGCAUCAACAGAGACAUCAUUUAAAUGAAAUCCAUUUGCAGUUUCCAUAUGUGUCUAUCUGAGACUCAUCCAGUUGGGUUUGUAUUUACCUGUGGAGAAAAACAAACAGAUGUUUGUCAAGCUCUGCACAGAUUUAUUGGUUUUCAACUACUAAGUGUAACGUCACAAGCAUGUUCAACGUGGUAUCAGUAUGCUUUCUGGGAUUGUUGUGGGGCUGAUUUUAAAAGGUGUGGCUUAUUGGAAACACCAGUUCAGACAAAGAGAGAAGACAAAAGCAGUUGUCUAAGCAAGGGUUCAGGGGAUCUGUAGAAUCACAAGUUAUGUAAUUAUGAAACAAUUCAGUAUAAGAAAUUCUCAAACAUAUUUGGUGUCAGAAAAAUCAGUUAUACAUGAUAUAUUAUUACAAUUAGAAUUAAUGUAUUUGUUGAGCAUUUAAAUGUGCCCAUUGUACCAAUAAAAAUGUAAGUGCACUCCAUGUGUUUCAAUAAAUCUUGUGUUAAAUUGUCAAAUCAUCCUGUUUGACAGAUCAAAAUGUUUGAUUCUGUCCAAAAAAGCAUGAUGUUGAAUGAUUCAAUUUGCAAAUAAUUAUUAAUAAAAAUUCAGUUUGAAUGAAUCUGCCAUUUUGUCUACGAGCGAUGUGAUCCAUAAAGGCAGGCUAAUUUAGUACCCUGGUGUUUAGUCACCUUUGAUAUCUAGUCUGAGACCAUUCAUAUUAUUUACACGUCCUCUCAUGGGUAGUAUACCAUGUCAGAAUGCCAAAAGCUUGGUCAGCACUGUUAAGUUGUUAGGGGCUGCACGUUUUAACUAUUUUACCCAUUAUAAUACCAAUAAUAAUUUUUUGCACUUAUAUAUAUCUCUUAUCAUGCUCAAGUGCCUUAGAUUGAUAAGGAGGGAAACUCACCUCAGCCACCACCAAUGUGUAGCACCUACUUGGUGAUGUACAACAGCCAUUUUAUGCCAGAACACUCAACACACAUCAGCUGAGGUGGAGAGGGAGAGAACAAUUUUAGCCAGUUAAACAGGGGGAUGGUUAAGUGGCAGGUUGAGAGAACCAAGUUGUGAUGGUAGCCAGGGCAAUAUAUGCAAAAGUUUACAGCUGGAAGUGCAAACAUUGGAUUAUGAAGAUAGACCAUAAAAAGUUUUGAAUUAUGUCUCCCAAUGGAGGCACUUAUAUGUGUCUGUACAUUCUCCUAAUUUGGCUUUAUGACCUAGGUGAACAGGGCCCUGACUGCCUGGCUAAAAUGGCUGUUUUUCUUUCUUGAUGUUGAGCGCAUUUUGGUGGAGGCACCAGGGUCCACCUUUCCCAAGAAAUUUGAUGUUAUUCACUGCCACUGCAGACAAAUGUUGCCCCUUUUAUAUCUUGCCAGGGAAUGGUUUGUCAGUAUCGUAAAAGAGUUAGGGAACCAGGCUUGUAACCAGGCCGGUUCAGUUACCAGGUGUGGCACAGCCAUUGAACCUUUUGGCAAAGAACUUGAUUGGAAGUGCUUCAGAAGAAAUGUGUAUGUUGAACGACUCAAAAAAAAGAAAGCAAAAAGCUGUAUAAAUCACAAUGGUAAAGAGUGUGUCCUACAUGAAUUGUCUUUUUUUUCAGAUUUGAUGAGCGUGAUAAAUCAGUUCCAACUGAUUACAAUUGUAUACUCGAAUUAGUAUAAACACAUUUACUACACAUUUAAGAUGGCCCUUGUACCAUUGUAAGUGAGUUGUAUACGUAAAAACAGUCUCAAUAUAAUUUGUUGUAUCGCUUAAUCCUCCACAGAAAUUACAGUGUAACUUAAACAAGUCAUCUUGUCACUAGAUUGAAUGUGGACAGCAAACUCUCAGCAAUGCUUUAAGGACAUAAAUGCAUCAACCACUGCAAUUAUUUCAUGGAAAUAAAUCUGUACAUCUACAUUAGCAAGAAACCUAACAUUUUGACUACAAAUAAACUGGAAAAUUAUGCAAUGCAUGAAUAAUCACAGAAAGGUGCAAACCUGGAAGGUUUAUACAGUAUGUUUGUCCCUGGCCAAUGUGUGGAAUAGCUUUCCUGGACAUGUAGUGGAGGCAGAAACACUGGGGGUAUUCAAGGCCUGGCUUGAUACUAUCUAGCUUUUAGGUAAACUAAGCAUUAAGUACAGUUUAGUGGUAGGAAUAGACAAGCAGUGUUGGGCUGAAUGACCUGUUCUUGUCUUACGUCAUGUUAUGUUAUGUUAUGUUAUGUUAUGUUAUGUUAUGUUAUGUUAUGUUAUGUUAUGUUAUGUUAUGUUAUGUUAUGUUUGGAAAACUUGAUGUUUGAUGUUAUCUGGAACAGCUUGAUUGCAAAAUGGUUGGUUUUAGCCUAAACAGCACCAGCUUUUGUAUGUGUUGUUGUUCCAUAUUUCUGAAAGAAAUCUACUCACACAGUAAACGAUGCCAUUAAAACUGCCUAGGACUUGCCAA